rnacentral:lncRNA from 1 species
AAGACAAGAAUUUUAAACCCACAAAAUAGAAAAAAAAAAACUAGGAGGAAAAUAAGCAACUAAGGGUAAAAAUACAAACCUUAGGGAAAAAAAAAAAAAAAACUAGAAGAUAGAAAUAAGAUAGAAAAUGGUUGAAAAUGUCAAGUAAAGAUAUUACACAGAUAGAAAAUGCAAAAAGCUAAGACAACUAUUAGAUACAGACAUACUUAUUAAAGCAAAAAGAGGGAAUUGGAAAGGGGUAUAUAUCCCCCAAAGAUAAACUUAAAAUAACGCUUUUUACUCUAAACUUUUUAAAUUUGGAUUCAUAAGGACUUAGUGCUGCGGAAUAUAUAUCCAAAAAAUGUACAUAAGCCUAAGGUACUUUGGAAAGAUAUUCUAACAGGACAAUGGAAAGCUCCUGACCCAGUGAUUGUCUGGAGUCGGGGUUUUGUUUGUGUGUUUCCACAGGGAGAACAGCAGCCAAUUUGGAUUCCAGAGACAUUAACUAAAACAAUUUCUAUAGAUCGAAAAGAAGAUGAUUUGACUCAAAUCCAUAACAGCUGAUAUCCAGAACUCCAGCUUGGCCAUUCUUACAUCUGCGACAGUGAUUAACCAGUGAUGCAAUUUUUAUUUCCUUGCCAGUGCACCCCAUGUUAAUUGUGGUAGUGCUGGCAUAUCUUUGCUGAUGGUGUCACUAGUGAUGCAAUUUUU